rnacentral:rRNA from 1 species
UACGUAGGUGACCAGCGUUGUCCAGAUUUACUGGGCGUAAAGAGCGCGCAGGCGGUCGUUCAAGUCGAGUGUGAAAGCCCCCGGCUCAACUGGGGAGGGUCAUUCGAUACUGAUCGACUCGAAGGCAGGAGAGGGAAGCGGAAUUCCCGGUGUAGUGGUGAAAUGCGUAGAUAUCGGGAGGAACACCUAUGGCGAAGGCAGCUCGCUGGGACGGUACUGACGCUGAGACGCGAAAGCGUGGGGAGCAAACAGG